rnacentral:rRNA from 1 species
AUUGAACGCUGGCGGCAUGCUUUACACAUGCAAGUCGAACGGCAGCGCGGGCUUCGGCCUGGCGGCGAGUGGCGAACGGGUGAGUAAUGCAUCGGAACGUGCCCAGUAGUGGGGGAUAGCCCGGCGAAAGCCGGAUUAAUACCGCAUACGACCUGAGGGUGAAAGCGGGGGACCGAAAGGCCUCGCGCUAUUGGAGCGGCCGAUGUCGGAUUAGCUAGUUGGUGGGGUAAAGGCUUACCAAGGCGACGAUCCGUAGCUGGUCUGAGAGGACGACCAGCCACACUGGGACUGAGACACGGCCCAGACUCCUACGGGAGGCAGCAGUGGGGAAUUUUGGACAAUGGGGGCAACCCUGAUCCAGCCAUGCCGCGUGCGGGAAGAAGGCCUUCGGGUUGUAAACCGCUUUUGUUCGGGAAGAAAUGCUCUGGGCUAAUACCCCGGGGGGAUGACGGUACCGAAAGAAUAAGCACCGGCUAACUACGUG